UGGGGAAUAUUGGACAAUGGGCGCAAGCCUGAUCCAGCCAUGCCGCGUGAGUGAUGAAGGCCCUAGGGUUGUAAAGCUCUUUCACCGGUGAAGAUAAUGACGGUAACCGGAGAAGAAGCCCCGGCUAACUUCGUGCCAGCAGCCGCGGUAAUACGAAGGGGGCUAGCGUUGUUCGGAUUUACUGGGCGUAAAGCGCACGUAGGCGGACUUUUAAGUCAGGGGUGAAAUCCCGGGGCUCAACCCCGGAACUGCCUUUGAUACUGGAAGUCUUGAGUAUGGUAGGGGUGAGUGGAAUUCCGAGUGUAGAGGUGAAAUUCGUAGAUAUUCGGAGGAACACCAGUGGCGAAGGCGGCUCACUGAACCAUUACUGACGCUGAGGUGCGAAAGCGUGGGGAGCAAACAGG
rnacentral:rRNA from 1 species